rnacentral:rRNA from 1 species
UACGUAGGGUGCAAGCGUUGUCCGGAAUUAUUGGGCGUAAAGAGCUCGUAGGCGGUUUGUCGCGUCUGCCGUGAAAAGUCCGGGGGCUCAACUCCGGAUCUGCGGUGGGUACGGGCAGACUAGAGUGAUGUAGGGGAGACUGGAAUUCCCGGUGUAGCGGUGAAAUGCGCAGAUAUCGGGAGGAACACCGGUGGCGAAGGCGGUUCUCUGGGCCUUACCUGACGCUGAGGAGCGAAAGCGUGGGAGCGAACAGG